rnacentral:lncRNA from 1 species
CCAGAAUCAGCCCCAGCCUAAACUUGAGGAACAAUGAGUCUCCGAGGCAACCAUGGCUCAGAAUCAGACCAGCAGUGCCCAUGAUCCCAGCCUGACUUUGUAUCUAGCUCCAACAAUGGGGCUUGGUCUUAUCUUCUCCCCUUUCCCCAAGUUCCUGCCUCUUUCUUUGCAUCCAUAACUAGGUUCUGCCUGGACUCCUGUGCUGAAGCCCUGCUUUGGUGUCUUCUGAAGCCCUGGGUCCUUCUGGAGCAGAAGGCAUGCACCUGAGGGACCCAGUGCUCCUGGGUCUGUGUGAGGACACAGUCCUGCCUCCUCCUGAGGUCGGGAGAGAAAGCGCCUGUCAGGUUGUAGGAGGCCAGUGGGCAGAUGGCACAGGAAUUUGCUCAAGAGGUACAACAGAAGUCUUUCCUGGUCUUUUGGUGGCAAUGAUUCAAGCAUAAUCAAUUUGUGGAGCUAAGAUCUCAACUCCUCAACAGAAACUGAAGGCACCUGUUUCUGAUGCAACUUAACAGAUGCAAAUGGAUCCAAGGGGAGGAAGCUGUUGCCAAAUAUCUCCUCCCACACUGCCUGGGAAUCCUAGGACAUCUCCAUUUCACAGAAGAGAAAACUGAGGCGUAUCCAGAGUUGUAUAACUAGUUAUUAAUAGUACUGAAAUCCAAACAUAAGUCUAUUUGACUCCAAAGUCAAUCCCUUGAGGUUGCCUCAUUAGAAACUGUUCAGAAGAAUACAGGGAAGCUGUUAAUGAGGCUCACCUUGGAAAUCAGCAAGAGGAGG